GAUGAACGCUGGCGGCGUGCCUAAUACAUGCAAGUCGAGCGAACAGACGAGGAGCUUGCUCCUCGGACGUUAGCGGCGGACGGGUGAGUAACACGUGGAUAACCUACCUAUAAGACUGGGAUAACUUCGGGAAACCGGAGCUAAUACCGGAUAAUAUAUUGAACCGCAUGGUUCAAUAGUGAAAGACGGUUUUGCUGUCACUUAUAGAUGGAUCCGCGCCGCAUUAGCUAGUUGGUAAGGUAACGGCUUACCAGGGCAACGAUGCGUAGCCGACCUGAGAGGGUGAUCGGCCACACUGGAACUGAGACACGGUCCAGACUCCUACGGGAGGCAGCAGUAGGGAAUCUUCCGCAAUGGGCGAAAGCUUGACGGAGCAACGCCGCGUGAGUGAUGAAGGUCUUCGGAUCGUAAAACUCUGUUAUUAGGGAAGAACAAAUGUGUAAGUAACUAUGCACGUCUUGACGGUACCUAAUCAGAAAGCCACGGCUAACUACGUG
rnacentral:rRNA from 1 species